AGUGAACGCUGGCGGUAGGCCUAACACAUGCAAGUCGAACGGCAGCACAGUAAGAGCUUGCUCUUACGGGUGGCGAGUGGCGGACGGGUGAGGAAUACUUCGGAAUCUACUUUUUCGUGGGGGAUAACGUAGGGAAAAUUACGCUAAUACCGCAUACGACCUACGGGUGAAAGCAGGGGAUCUUCGGACCUUGCGCGAUUGAAUGAGCCGAUGUCGGAUUAGCUAGUUGGCGGGGUAAAGGCCCACCAAGGCGACGAUCCGUAGCUGGUCUGAGAGGAUGAUCAGCCACACUGGAACUGAGACACGGUCCAGACUACUACGGGAGGCAGCAGUGGGGAAUAUUGGACAAUGGGCGCGAGCCUGAUCCAGCCAUACCGCGUGGGUGAAGAAGGCCUUCGGGUUGUAAAGCCCUUUUGUUGGGAAAGAAAAGCAGCAGGUUAAUACCCCGCUGUUCUGACGGUACCCAAAGAAUAAGCACCGGCUAACUUCGUG
rnacentral:rRNA from 1 species